rnacentral:rRNA from 1 species
AAAUGCGAUACGUAGUGUGAAUUGCAGAAUUCCGCGAAUCAUCGAGUUUUUGAACGCAAGUUGCGACCGAGGUCUAGUGCCUGGGUCAUGGCUGAGCGAGCGUCAUA